rnacentral:lncRNA from 1 species
ACCAUUGCCAAUAACGCAACCACAAAGCUCUGCACAACUGAAAAAAAUCAGCUUAUUACUAAUUUGGAUGAAACAAAAGAAACAAAGUGUUGGGAGGUUGAAAGAAGUUACAAUGAUUGUGAUAAGACUCUAAGAUGGAAAAGAGGAUCUAAUUUCUUAUCGUACAAACCGUAACAAUACCAAGACGAGAAGGCUAUGAACCCUAACGCCAACCAAGGUCCUUCAAAUCCAGAGAGAAACCUCUCUGAACUUGCCUCAAGUGCAGAGACACUCCUCUGAUUUGCAUAAAGAUCCCAAUUACAAGAUGAUCUAGCCGUAAAGGUCAAGAGGUCUAUUUAUAAUAUCUCUUAACAGU